rnacentral:sRNA from 1 species
UGAAGUCCAGAUGUCUGUACUCACGCGGC